UACCUACGGGGGGCUGCAGUGGGGAAUCUUCCGCAAUGGGCGCAAGCCUGACGGAGCAACGCCGCGUGAGUGAUGAAGGCCUUCGGGUUGUAAAACUCUGUCUUCAGGGAAGAAAAAAAUGACGGUACCUGAGGAGGAAGCCCCGGCUAACUACGUGCCAGCAGCCGCGGUAAAACGUAGGGGGCAAGCGUUGUCCGGAAUUACUGGGCGUAAAGGGCGCGUAGGCGGUUAUUUAAGUCAGAGGUGAAAACUCCGGGCUCAACUCGGAGCCUGACUCUGAAACUGGGUGACUUGAGGGCAGGAGAGGGGAGUGGAAUUCCCAGUGUAGCGGUGAAAUGCGUAGAUAUUGGGAGGAACACCAGUGGCGAAGGCGACUCUCUGGCCUGUUACUGACGCUGAGGCGCGAAAGCGUGGGGAGCAAACGGGAUUAGAUACCCCAGUAGUC
rnacentral:rRNA from 1 species